AUUGAACGCUGGCGGAAUGCUUUACACAUGCAAGUCGAACGGCAGCACGGACUUCGGUCUGGUGGCGAGUGGCGAACGGGUGAGUAAUGUAUCGGAACGUGCCCAGUCGUGGGGGAUAACGUAGUGAAAAUUACGCUAAUACCGCAUACGAGCUAUGGAUGAAAGCGGGGGAUCGCAAGACCUCGCGCGAUUGGAGCGGCCGAUAUCAGAUUAGGUAGUUGGUGGGGUAAAGGCCCACCAAGCCAACGAUCUGUAGCUGGUCUGAGAGGACGACCAGCCACACUGGGACUGAGACACGGUCCAGACUCCUACGGGAGGCAGCAGUGGGGAAUUUUGGACAAUGGGCGAAAGCCUGAUCCAGCCAUUCCGCGUGCAGGAUGAAGGCCCUCGGGUUGUAAACUGCUUUUGUACAGAACGAAAAGGUUUCUACUAAUACUAGGAGCUCAUGACGGUACUGUAAGAGUAAGCACCGGCUAACUACGUGCCAGCCGCCGCCGUAA
rnacentral:rRNA from 1 species